AGCGUAGGCGGGCUAUCAAGUCUGGGGUGAAAUCCCACGGCUCAACCGUGGAACUGCCUUAGAUACUGACGGCCUCGAGGAAGGUAGGGGCAUGCGGAACUAACGGUGGAGCGGUGAAAUGCGUUGAUAUCGUUAGGAACUCCGGUGGCGAAAGCGGCGUGCUGGACCUUUUCUGACGCUGAGGCUCGAAAGCUAGGGGAAGGCAAACG
rnacentral:rRNA from 1 species